UACGAAGGGGGCUAGCGUUGUUCUGAUUUACUGGGCGUAAAGCGCACGUAGGCGGAUCGUUAAGUCGGGGGUGAAAUCCUGGAGCUCAACUCCAGAACUGCCUUCGAUACUGGCGAUCUAGAGUCCGGAAGAGGUGAGUGGAACUCCUAGUGUAGAGGUGGAAUUCGUAGAUAUUAGGAAGAACACCAGUGGCGAAGGGCGGCUCACUGGUCCGGUACUGACGCUGAGGUGCGAAAGCGUGGGGAGCAAACAGG
rnacentral:rRNA from 1 species